UUUCCGUAGGUGACCUGCGGAAGGAUCAUU
rnacentral:rRNA from 2 species